GGGUAUUAUGUCACGUAUCAAAUUUAAUAAACCUAACCUAGGGUAAUUAAACUUAGUAUAUUUUUUUCCCAGUAGGGAAAGACCCCACGUGCAGGUGUCUGAAAUACCCAUGACGUAAUCUGACACGCGUCCGGUGAUAGCGUGAUAUCUGACAGGGAAUUAUUGGAUUGGUUCAAGCAAGCGUCAGGGAGAAGGGGCUAAGAAAACGCGGAAUCUUUAGACUUUAGUUGUGUAGAAAAUUUCAUAGAGAUAAGACGUAUUUUAGUUUUGAGUUGUAACUUGCAGUGACAAGUCUUAUAUUUUAUUAGAUCUAGUAUUAAUCUGAAUAUAUUUUAUUAUUGAGCUUUGAAAGAAGAUAUUUAUUUGAUACAGUCUAUUUUGUCUAUUCUGUACAUACAAUGAUUCUUAGUUAUUGAAUUAAAAUUCUGUAUUUGAAUUAAAAGGAUCUUCAUUUGUUGAAUCUCUAAGACAUAUUUAGAUCUAGAGAUAGAUCUACAGAAUCCCCGGCACAUCACAGUAACAACAUAUCAGCAGCUUCCGACGAAUAGGCAUUUCGACACCAAGAGAGAAACCUAACAGUGAUACUUAGAUAUCAGGGCCGCUGGUUGCCCGUGUUUGGUUCAGCAAUGAUUCGCUAUGCUUUAGUUGAAAGUAAUGUUAUUUGUGCGUCCAAGAUUUGUUGUAGGUCAAGUUCAUCAAUGGAAUAAUUGUCUUACUGAAUGCCUUUGAAAAUACCAAACUCAAGGAAGUUUGUAUUCUACACUAUGUUUCUUCAGAGUGUUUAUAGAGAGGCGCCGCUGAAUCUGCAGAUACAUUAUAUUGUGAGACAAAAAGUCUAAUUGGCAAUGUCAACAACACAAUUCUCAAAUGAAAUACCCGACUAUUGGUUAUUGAGUACGUUGUUUUGUGAGCAUUGUUUAUGAUAUAAUUGGCUAUAUGAUAAGUGGACAUGUGAUUCGUUGAUAUACCAUAAGUGAUGUGCUAUAGAUAAAUGGAUAUGUAAUAAUUUGCUGUAGGAUAAGUAAUUUUGAGAUAAGUGGAUAAAUGAUAUAAGGAUCAAGUUCAAACUUUUCACGAUUAUUCAUUGCCGAUGACAAAACGUGAAUCAAUAACAAUUAAUCAAUUAGCUAAUCAGUAUCUAAUAGAAGAUGAAAUUUGCCUGAGUUAAAGAUCUCAACACAACAAAGUUCUUCGCAAUGUUUUGAAGUCAUUAUCUGAAACUGAACUCUUUAGGGAAAGAAAUAACAUUGAUUUUUAUUGAGUAGUGAAGUCACAAUGACUGACAGACCUCACCACACAAUGACUGAUAGACCUCACCACACAAUGACUGAUAGACCUCACCACACAA